AGCACAUGUUUUAGCACGCACUCGUUUUAUAGUGGCUUAGGAGGAGGCUGGUGUUGUUUUAUGCCGUCUGCGUCUCUGUAAAUGUGUCUGGCUCGAUUUCCCAGACCUUAAAAUGAACACAAGCAUGCUUCGGUCAUUUUAUAUAAUAGCUUGUGAUAUUUGCAUUUGCUUAUGUAACAAUAUCAAUAUUUUAUUUGUGUUUUCAUGUACAUCUGUAGCAGAUGAGUUAUAUAACUGAGAAAUUGCAGCCACUUCAUGAAAGAGAGAACGAUGAAAAGCACAUGAGAGCCUCGCGAGGUUACGUUCUCUUCCUGACGUGUUGUUUUAAUGAGGCAUUGCUUAAGAAGUGCUGAGUCAUGAUCGUGUAGAUCAGUGUUUCUCAACUGGUUUUUUGCUUCAGGACGUGGAAUUUUACUUUGACAUCAUGUGUCACGACUCACUGAUAUAGAAAACAAAGUGACCUUGAGUGACACGUUCAUCAUGUGAAAUCUGAUCGCCCUGCUCAGAAUGCAAAGGUUAGUGCGGGAAGAAUUAGUUGUCAGGCCGGAAAGAAAAUCCGAUAUUUACAGUUUCUCGGGUACAAAAACACGCCCUAAUGCUGCAAUUCCUUUAGGAGGGUUGAUCAUACGCCCUGGCUGCAGGCCAACAGAUUCGAUGUUCGUUGAGAAGGGCGAGGCGAGCUGUGGGUACGUGACUAAACAUCUUACUUCCUCUUUCCAACGUCACGAGGGCUUGCACAAACACAUCCGGCCUUGUGUCUGCAGAUUUCAGACGCAUUGCUUCACCCAAAGAGCCCUGAAGCUGCACUCAUUUGGAACGAGUCCAAAACAAAAGGGAAGGACCUGCAAAAGCUAUUUGUUAGUUCUUCUCACACUGUGGACAUUAUGUACCCAGUGACCAGACACCAUCACAAUGUGUGCAACCAUUAAAACUAGAGGGGGAAAAAAGUGGGAUUUGAGGUCAAGUUUGUUGUGUGUAUAAAUGAAAGUUUAAAUCCGUCAUUUCAUGAGCAUGACAAAUAUGACUAAGAUUGGUGAAAUAUUGUGAGUCGAUUUUGACUUGAUUACACAACUGAAGGCUGUAGGAAAGUGUCACGGAUUAGAAGUGGAAUGUAAGGGAUCAAGGCCAGACAUAUUUUAUUGCUAUUUUAAUGCAUUUUGACUUUAUGAACUCACAUUGUAAUAAUAGUAAUUUAAAUAACAAUAAGAGACUUGGUGUCAAUAAUUAUAAAUCUAAA